GUAGGUGAACCUGCGGAAGGAUCAUUAUCGUAGGGCUUCGGCCCUGUCGAGAUAGAACCCUUGCCUUUUUGAGUACCUUUCGUUUCCUCGGCAGGCUCGCCUGCCAAUGGGGACCCCAAAAAACACUUUGCAGUACCUGUAACAGUCUGAACAAACAAACAAAAAUUAAAACUUUCAACAACGGAUCUCUUGGUUCUG
rnacentral:misc_RNA from 1 species